rnacentral:rRNA from 1 species
GGAAGGGGGGCAGCUACACAUGCAGUCGAGCGAGAACUUCGGUUCUAGCGGCGGACGGGUUAGUAACGCGUGGGAACGUGCCCUUCACUACGGAAUAGUCCCGGGAAACUGGGUUUAAUACCGUAUACGCCCUUCGGGGGAAAGAAUUUCGGUGAAGGAUCGGCCCGCGUUAGAUUAGAUAGUUGGUGGGGUAACGGCCUACCAAGUCUACGAUCUAUAGCUGGUUUUAGAGGAUGAUCAGCAACACUGGGACUGAGACACGGCCCAGACUCCUACGGGAGGCAGCAGUGGGGAAUCUUAGACAAUGGGCGCAAGCCUGAUCUAGCCAUGCCGCGUGAGUGAUGAAGGCCUUAGGGUCGUAAAGCUCUUUCGCCAGGGAUGAUAAUGACAGUACCUGGUAAAGAAACCCCGGCUAACUCCGUGCCAGCAGCCGCGGUAAUACGGAGGGGGUUAGCGUUGUUCGGAAUUACUGGGCGUAAAGCGCGCGUAGGCGGAUUGGAAAGUUGGGGGUGAAAUCCCAGGGCUCAACCCUGGAACUGCCUCCAAAACUAUCAGUCUAGAGUUCGAGAGAGGUGAGUGGAACUCCGAGUGUAGAGGUGAAAUUCGUAGAUAUUCGGAAGAACACCAGUGGCGAAGGCGGCUCACUGGCUCGAUACUGACGCUGAGGUGCGAAAGUGUGGGGAGCAAACAGGAUUAGAUACCCUGGUAGU